rnacentral:rRNA from 1 species
CUGGCCUACGGGGCGCAGCAGUGGGGAAUAUUGCACAAUGGGGGAAACCCUGAUGCAGCGACGCCGCGUGAGUGAGGAAGUAUUUCGGUAUGUAAAGCUCUAUCAGCAGGAAAGAUAAUGACGGUACGUGACUAAGAAGCCCCGGCUAACUACGUGCCAGCAGCCGCGGUAAUACGUAGGGGGCGAGCGUUAUCCGGAAUUACUGGGUGUAAAGGGAGCGUAGACGGUAAUGCAAGUCUGGAGUGAAAGGCGGGGGCCCAACCCCCGGACUGCUCUGGAAACUGUGUAACUGGAGUGAAG